rnacentral:tRNA from 1 species
GCGCCGUUAGCUCAAGUGGUAGAGCAACUGGCUCUUAACCAGUGGGUUCGGGGUUCGAGUCCCUGACGGCGCACCA